CGCGGGCGGCCUUCCCUAGGCCGCAGCGCGAUGGGAACGGCUGUCGCGACAGCACGGAGGCGACGAGGGAGCAUUCCUUCCCUCUGUGGAUGCCUCCGUGCGGCCCCGUCCGGCCCUGCCGCAGUGCUGGAGUCUGGCAGGGAGCAGCCAGGAGGGUGUGGGUGCUGCCCUGUGCGCGACCGCUUCGCUCAGUCCUUGAUUUGUACUCCUACAAUCCAGCCUGGCGAGCCCGCCUGAGGAGAGAAAUGCUUGAGGCCGUGGCAGGAGCAACCUGGCAACUGGCUGAGCUCCUCAGGGCAUUCAAGAAAGUUUGCCCAGAUUAAGAUCAGAAUUUAUUUAAUUAAUGUAUUUAUUCAUUAUGAUAAGCUGCGAGAUCCAAUAAUGCAGACCUUUAACUUCCCAGCCAAUGGGUGGAAGCAGAGCCAGGGACCGGGGUGCAGAGCAGCACAGCGGUGACAUUUCCCUUUCUUGUGUCCCCAGCGGUGUAUUUACAGUGAAUAAAGACCCAGCUCUGCAUCCUCGG